AGCAGCGUGGCUCAGUGGAAAGAGCACGGAUUUAAGAGUCAGAGCUCAUGGGUUCUAAUCCCAACUCUGCCA
rnacentral:tRNA from 1 species